GGCCCCGUAGCUCAACUGGAUAGAGUACCACACUACGAAUGUGGCGGUUGCAGGUUCGAAUCUUGCCGGGGUCA
rnacentral:tRNA from 1 species